UUAACCUUCUCAGGCACUGACACGUGUAACUGUAAGUGUAAAUAUGUCUGCCACUCAUGUCAUGUCAUUGUGUGUGUUGCAGGUGUUUGACUGGUCGGGUUACAAACUGUCCAUCCAUGACAUGUGAACAUUCCCAUGGAUUAUAUGGAAUUCUUGUGACAGAUGGACACAUGGGCCACUUUUCAGUGGUUCUCCCUGCAGGACAUUUUGGGGAUUCUGCAUACCAAACCUCCAGGUUGUGAGCCAUCAUCAGUGGCUAAGAGGCUUAUUUGGCCCCCACCAAAGGGAGGGGGCAUGAAGGAAUCCCUGAUGCUCCCCUCCUCAGGAGAUCACAGCACUCUGAGCUCCUCUCCAGGAAAUCAAAGAUCCCAGACGGAGCCCGGAGUCCUUUAUCAUCUCCAGCCUGAAGACCCUUGGGGAGCUUCCAACCCCCUGACUGACCAAGAUUUAUUACGCGUGAGUGAUAACACACACACACACACACAUAUAUAUACAAACAUACACCCAUGUGCAUGUACAGACCACACAGUGUGCACACGUGUUCUGGAACAUACAACACACAGAGAGAUAACACAUAAACAUGUACACUUCAAAAGCAGCGUCUGAGUGGGAUCUCCGCUGCCCUCUCCUCCCUUCCUCUUGACCCUUGAUCCCAGUCUCGUCACGGCUCUGUCUCGCCGCGUCUUGCUUUCAGCGCCCGUCUGGCUCUCGUCGUCCUCACAUCGCACGGAGACUGCGUUGUCCUACUUUAUUGGGGUGCACUACAAGGCAACUUUGGGUCUCAAGUGAAUUGCUUUCAGAAAAAGUGCUAUGUCCUUGUAGCAAAAAAAAGCA